AACAGCUUCUGCAAUUAAGAAGCAUAUCUUUUUAAAAGCUGUUUGUUUGCUAACAAUUGCCACUUAGGUCUAAGUCUAAGAAGAGAUGUGCUCUAUCUCCCAUUUAGCAGCUCUUCAGCAGCUCUGACAUUAGAUGGCCCUGGGCUUCAAGAUUGAUCAGUGGAUAUGUAGCAGAGACAUAUAUGAGGAGCAUCCUACAAAUUGAAAUGUGCAGCCGCAGAUUCUGGAAGCAAGAUUUGAGCUGGAUGGAGCUGAAGGAGCAAGCUUUAUGGGUGGAAACCAUGAACUGUGACAUGGAAAACAGGAGAUAAGGGUGCAGAAAGCCCCAUGGAAAGACAGGACACUACUGCAGGAUUUAAGGAAGCUCAGAGUAAAGACAGAAGUGGAUUAUUUUAGUUUAAGAGUUUUAUUUAGAUUUGAGGGGGUGGCAGUAAUAGAUAGGAGAAAGUUGCCUCAAUAAAGAUAAUAGAUGAUGUGAACUUUGUACAGGGGACAAAGAUUAAUAUUUUUCUAAGUCUGUAAAUUCAGAAGCAGCAUGAAUUGGCAAUGAAUUGCUGAUGCAGCAUAGAUAAGAUUCAGGCAUAAACCCGAGAUUUC
rnacentral:lncRNA from 11 species